CUAUUUAUGGUCUUUUUUUCCCCACUUAAAUAAGUACCUUCAGCAUUUCUUGUAGAACUGGUUUCUUGGUGAUAAACUCCUUUAAUCGUUGCUUGUCUGGGAAGCUCUUUAUCUCUCCUUCCAUUCUGAAUGACAACCUUGCUGGAUAGAGUAUUCUUGGCUGCAGGUUUUUUCCUUUUAGCACUUUAAAUAUGUGGUGCCAUUCUCUUCCUGCCUGUAGGGUCUCAGCUGAGAAGUCCACUGAUAGCCUGAUGGGCUUGCCUUUAUAUGUCACUUGUGGCCUUUCUCUUGCUGCUUUUAGGAUUCUCUCUUUAUCUUUAAUUUUGGACAUUUUAAUUAUAAUGUGUCUUGGUGUGGGCCUCUUUGGGUUUAUCUUGUUUGGAGCUCUCUGUGCUUCCUCAACUUGGAUCUCUGUUUCCUUCCUCAGGUUAGGAAAAUUUUUAUCUAUUAUUUCUUCAAAUAAAUUUUCUGCCCCUUUGUCUCUCUCUUCUCCUUCUGGGACACCUAUAAUCUGAAUAUUAGCAUGCUUGAUAUUGUCCCGGAUUUCCCUUAGAGUGCUCUCAUUCUGUCUAAUUCUUUUUUCUUUUUUCUGUUCUGCUUGGGUGAUUUCCUCUAGUCUUUUGUCUAGCUUGCUGAUCCAUUCUUCUGCAUCCUCUACUCUGCUAUUGAGUCCCUCCAGUGAAUUUUUCAUUUCCAGUAUUGUAUUCUUCAUUUCUAAUUGGCUUUUUUUGUAUCUUCCAGUUCUUUGUUGAUGAGCUCACUGUGUUCAUCCAUUCUUCUCCCAAUAUCUGUGAGCAUCCUCAUGAUAUUUUAUUUGAACUCUUUGUCGAGUAGGUCAAUUGUUUCUGUUUCAUUUAGUCCUUUUUCUGGGGUUUUGUCCUGUUCCCUUGCUUGGAAAGUAUUCCUUUGUCUCCUCGUUAUGCCUCUUUCUCUGUGCUUCUUUCUAUGUAUUAGCUGAGUUGGCUAUGUCUCCUGAUCUUGGAGAAGUGGCCUUAUGUAUGAGAUGCCUUAUGAGGACCAGCUGUGUGCUUCCCUCUCAUCACCAGUCCAGAAGAUCCAGGAAUGACCCCUUUGUGGGCUACUUGUGCCCUUCUGCUGUGGCAGGGUUGCUCCCACUGCAGGUACCCAGGGAGUCUAGUCUUUCCUUCCCUGGCCGGCUGUUUGUAAAUCUGGUUUGGGGAGCCUCAGCACUGUUUGCUACAAAGUCAUCAGCACACUCCUAUUGCAGUUUUCCUCUUAAUUGGGUUGGUACCCAGUGUAGCUGGUUGCUAGGCUCAGGGGCUUACAGUUGUGAUAGGCCUCAGGCCUAUAGGCUAUUGUCAGUUCUCUUAGGAGUGCAGCUGAGUGGGGCUGGCCCUUGGCCCAGGGGCACUCAAUUGUUUCAGGCUUUGGAAGGUGGGGCUGAUCCUUUUUAUGGCUAUUUGUGAAGUACAGGUCUUCUGCUGCUGAUAAGCCUCACCCCCAACAUACACCAUCAACACAGUCCUGGUCCUGCACACUUCUCAACCCCCUGGAGCAUACCCCGAUGCUGCACUGCAGAGGCCCCCACCUCUGCCCCAAUGCCCCCCACAGUUCACCUGAUCCUCACACAGACCCUGCCCCACAGAGGCAGACACCCUUGCCUGCCUGUAGAGGACCAAGGCACCCAGUCAAUGCAGGCUGAAAAGUAGCCUGAGGGCUUGCUGUUAGGUGAGGC
rnacentral:lncRNA from 1 species